GUCAGACCUCAGAUUUAGUGAUGG
rnacentral:piRNA from 1 species